ACCGCAGACCGCCUUAUCGUCGUUCCGUUUAUCGGGAGGGAGGAAAGUCCGGACACCAAAGAGAAGCAUAGCGGGUAACACCCGUCGGUCUUAGAAAUAGGGCAAGGACAAGUGCAACAGAAAGUAUGUACAGGUAAUGCUGUAGUGAAACCAGGUAAACUCUAUGCGGUGAAAUACCAAGUAUAUCAGCAUUUAAGGGCUUCUCGUCCGUUGUUGAAGGGUAGGUAGCUUGAGUCCCGAAGCAAUUCGGGAUCUAGAUAAAUGAUAAGGUAUUGUCUCGUUGCAAAACUUGACAAGAACAGAAUCCGGCUUAUAGGUCUGCUUUUUUU
rnacentral:RNase_P_RNA from 1 species